CAGUAGCCGCGGGAAUACGUAGGGUGCGAGCGUUAAUCGGAAUUACUGGGCGUAAAGCGUGCGCAGGCGGUUAUAUAAGACAGAUGUGAAAUCCCCGGGCUCAACCUGGGACCUGCAUUUGUGACUGUAUAGCUAGAGUACGGUAGAGGGGGAUGGAAUUCCGCGUGUAGCAGUGAAAUGCGUAGAUAUGCGGAGGAACACCGAUGGCGAAGGCAAUCCCCUGGACCUGUGCUGACGCUCAUGCACGAAAGCGUGGGGAGCAAACAGGAUUAGAUACCCCGGUAGUCCCUGUCUCUUAUAC
rnacentral:rRNA from 1 species